rnacentral:lncRNA from 1 species
UUCUAUAGGAAAACAGACUGAGGAAGCUGUGACAAAACUCUAUCACAAAGCCAACUGAUCCACUUCAGAGAUCUCAAGUGGUGGGGAGUACGGUUUCAGUGAACAAAACAGUUGAUAUUUCAUCAUGGAAUUAGAGGAGAAGGAACACAGUCUGGCAGCUUGCUUCAGUUGCAGGAGGUGCUCUAGCUUUCCUGAACCUGGAGCUUCAGCCCUGAUGAGAAGUGCUUGCACUAUUUGUUCAGACCUCUUCUAUGGGCAAGUUGUGUCAAGUUUUGCAGCCUUGUGCUUCAAAUAAUGUAAUGGGUUGAUGGUUUCAUUGCAAGAUUUUGAAUGCAAACUCAGGGG